rnacentral:lncRNA from 1 species
GGUGUUUUUCAAAAACAACCCAUAUUUUCAAGUCAAAUCCAAAACCAACCCCUUUUUUUUUGUUCAUACUAUUCAUCAAUAAAAUUUCCAUACUAUCCUUAUGUUUUUGAAUUAUUCACAAAAUUACCAUUUUUAUUUGUUUUUUUAUUAAUUUCGAAAUUAACAAAAAACCAAAUACACCCUAACCAUUUCUUCUUAUUUACAAAAAUGCCAUCAUCAUCAAUUUUUCCAACC